rnacentral:rRNA from 1 species
CACGUAGGGGGCAAGCGUUGUCCGGAUUUAUUGGGCGUAAAGAGCUCGUAGGUGGCUUAGUAAGUCGGGUGUGAAACCUCCAGGCUCAACCUGGAGACGCCACCCGAUACUGCUAUAGCUUGAGUCCGGUAGGGGAGCGUGGAAUUCCUGGUGUAGCGGUGAAAUGCGCAGAUAUCAGGAGGAACACCAGCGGCGAAGGCGGCAUCCUGGACCAACACUGACACUGAGGAGCGAAAGCCAGGGGAGCAAACGGG